GUUAAAUGACUUGCCGAGGGUCACUCAGCUAAGUGUCCACAGCAGUAAGGACAGAGAGAAAGCUGUGAAGGGACUACUUGAGGUGUGGGGUGCUGACCCAGGCCUUUCAGCAAUUCCCAUCACCUAGCCUAACCUUAAAUGACCUUCUUCUAAGGCUUCAAUUCACAAUUAAACCUGACUGUCUGGCUUAGGCCAGAAGCUGUGGCCUUGGGCUUUUCCAUUUAUUUGUUUGUGUCCUCCCAGCUGUCCUUCAUUUCAGUUCGAUUCAAUUCAAUUCUAUCCGAUUCAAUUCAACAAGUAUUUAUUGAGCGAUUACUGAGUGUCAGCUCCGGAAUGAGGGUGCCCUUUCCCGAGAAGGGCUCAGACUGGCCUGGAGGCAGAGUUGCAAACUGCACGGGGCACUUUGGGGAAUGGCUGCAGGCUCUAAUCGAAGAACUAUCUUCCAAGGAGGAGUUUAGUCAGUGGAGGGCACCGCUGGCGAGAUGACUUUGGCCCUUUCCGGCAGCACUCUGAACACCAACUAGGGCCAUCAAGAGCAGUUUCAUCUCAGAGCCCAAAGGAUGUCUGUCUGCUGCUGCUGUUUUGAUAUUCUCCCGAAGAACGUGGCCACACAAUUCUAUCACUAAGAACACACUUAUAUGGAGCAUUAUGCUUCACACAGCAUUUCCCUCAUUACCAUAUAAGGCAGGUGCGGAAUCACGUUGCCCUCCAGUGGCUGCAGCUCAUGGCAACAUCAGGAGGAGUUCUGGGGUCCCCAGCAAUCCCCUAAAGUCUGAUAUCCGCCUAAAGGUGGGGCUUUAGACUUUGAGGGCAGGGGAGGGCGCUGUUGGUGUGUAUAUGGACUCCACAAUUGGGGCCCACCAGACACGCCUCAUUCCCUUAUCCCUCCCCUCCCCUUCAAUUACAUCUGACCCAUCUGUCCUCCGAAGAUUCCCUUUCCCAAUUUCAUUCGUCUCUCAGGAUAGAAGUCUCCCUAACCCUCACUCCCAAGCUCCAGUCUGCCCCUGGGAACCUCAGAUCCUCUGCAGUUCUCCCCUCAGCACCUGGACAGCAGCCUAGGAGGAGGCCUCCACUCUACGGAGCCAUAGCUCCGCUUCAGCACCCCCUGCAGCAAUUCCCCGCCCAACCGCUUGGCUCUAGGAAUGGGCAUCAGUGCCAUUCAUCAACUCCUGUUCCUAUAUCAGGCUACCCACCACCUUAUUUGUAUUGGGUGGCCCUAGUAUGUUACCUAUGGGUAGAGUCUUGUUCACGUCUUGGGACACUUUCAACCCUCCACUGUCACAUUUCUCUCUUUUAUGUAUUUUUUUAUUGAAACUAAAUGAAAAUUUGACUUCUCUCUCCCACUCUCCCCCUCUCCCAAAGAAAGAAAAGCAAAACCUCUGUUAAAAAACCAUGUAUGAUCAAGCAAAACCAAUUUCUGCAUUGGUCAUAUUUCUUAAAAAAUUAUUCAGCCUGCACACAGUCCAAGAAGGAGAU
rnacentral:lncRNA from 1 species